GAUCCUGGUUCAGGACGAACGCUGGCGGCGCGCCUAACACAUGCAAGUCGAACGGAGCUAUGUUGAAAGCUUGCUGGAUAUAUAGCUUAGUGGCGGACGGGUGAGUAACACGUGAGCAACCUGCCUUUCAGAGUGGAAUAACGUUUGGAAACGAACGCUAAUACCGCAUAACGUCAGAGGAUGGCAUCAUUCUUUGACCAAAGAUUUAUCGCUGAAAGAUGGGCUCGCGGCCGAUUAGG
rnacentral:rRNA from 1 species